AUUGAACGCUGGCGGCAGGCCUAACACAUGCAAGUCGAGCGGAUGACGGGAGCUUGCUCCUUGAUUCAGCGGCGGACGGGUGAGUAAUGCCUAGGAAUCUGCCUGGUAGUGGGGGACAACGAUUCGAAAGGAACGCUAAUACCGCAUACGUCCUACGGGAGAAAGCAGGGGACCUUCGGGCCUUGCGCUAUCAGAUGAGCCUAGGUCGGAUUAGCUAGUUGGUGGGGUAAUGGCUCACCAAGGCGACGAUCCGUAACUGGUCUGAGAGGAUGAUCAGUCACACUGGAACUGAGACACGGUCCAGACUCCUACGGGAGGCAGCAGUGGGGAAUAUUGGACAAUGGGCGAAAGCCUGAUCCAGCCAUGCCGCGUGUGUGAAGAAGGUCUUCGGAUUGUAAAGCACUUUAAGUUGGGAGGAAGGGCAGUUAGCUAAUACCUUGCUGUUUUGACGUUACCGACAGAAUAAGCACCGGCUAACUCUGUGCCAGCCGCCGCCGUAA
rnacentral:rRNA from 1 species